GAUGAACGCUAGCUACAGGCUUAACACAUGCAAGUCGAGGGGCAGCAUGACCUAGCAAUAGGUUGAUGGCGACCGGCGCACGGGUGAGUAACACGUAUCCAACCUACCGGUUAUUCCGGGAUAGCCUUUCGAAAGAAAGAUUAAUACCGGAUAGUAUAACGAGAAGGCAUCUUCUUGUUAUUAAAGAAUUUCGAUAACCGAUGGGGAUGCGUUCCAUUAGUUUGUUGGCGGGGUAACGGCCCACCAAGACAUCGAUGGAUAGGGGUUCUGAGAGGAAGGUCCCCCACAUUGGAACUGAGACACGGUCCAAACUCCUACGGGAGGCAGCAGUGAGGAAUAUUGGUCAAUGGACGAGAGUCUGAACCAGCCAAGUAGCGUGAAGGAUGACUGCCCUAUGGGUUGUAAACUUCUUUUAUAUGGGAAUAAAGUGAGC
rnacentral:rRNA from 1 species